rnacentral:lncRNA from 1 species
AUGAACCACAUGCAGAGUCUGCGCUUCGAGCACAAACUUUAUGCUCAAGUGAAGCAGAAAAUGGAGGAGAUGCAGCAGCACAACAUGUCCUGGAUUGAGGUGCAGUUCCUGAAGAAAGCAGUCGAUGUUCUCUGCCAGUGCCGUGCCACACUCAUGUACACUUACGUCUUCGCUUUCUACCUCAAAAAGAAUAACCAGUCCAUUAUUUUUGAGAAUAACCAAGCAGAUCUAGAGAAUGCCACAGAGGUGCUUUCGGGCUACCUUGAACGAGAUAUUUCCCAAGAUUCUCUGCAGGAUAUAAAGCAGAAAGUACAAGAUAAGUACAGGUGAGAUUUUAAUAGCUGUUGGGUGAAAAUUGGCCUAGAAAGACUUAGUGGUGAAGCUUGGUUUAACAUGUCCGGUAACUGCACCACUGCCAUGUUUCUCACACGUUGCUGGGUCCACAGGGCAGCGUGUAGCAGAGAGUAUUACUGGGGAAUCAAGGGGGAAGGAGCUCAGCCAUUAGCUAUAGCUAUUUAGCUUCAUUCCUGUAGAGAAAAAAGAGCUUAAAGAGUGCAAGUAGGCAUUAGGAUGAAGGGGUGAGAAUAGGACUGAUCUUACCCUGGGAGUCCUGUGGGCCAUGGCUUGUGAUUUACCUCAUCCAGGGUAGAUGAGACUUGUAGACCUCUUCUGUUAUAAAAGCAAAAUAUUUGAUUCUCCAACACAAAACUCUUUGUUUUUUUCCUCCUUGCAGAUAUUUUCUUUUGGUUUUGCUUUGCUAAGGAUUGAACCCCCGAAGUCUGCACCCUGAGCUACAUCCCUGUCUGUUUUGUUUUGUUGUUUUAAGAUGGGGUCUCACUCAGUUGCCCAAGCUGAGCCCAAACUUGCGCUAUUCCUGCCUCAGCUUCCCAGGGUGCUAAAGACUAAGGCAUGUGCCACCACCCUAUCUUUUUUUUUUUUUUUUUGGUAACAGAGAUUGAACUCAGGUCCUUGCCCUUGCCAGGCAGGCGGUGGCACCACUGAGCUAAAUCCCCGGCCCUUACCCUGUCUUUUUAAUAGUAAUGGAAAACAGAAUGUGAAAGACUUGGUGAUUUACACCUAACUAAAUAUUUUCGUGUACUUUAGCCAAGAAUAGCUACUACGUUAUAUUUAUACAGCUUUUACAUUUCAUGAAAAUUUUACAGAUGAGGAUAGCCCAUGUAAUUACUUCUUUCUGAAACUGUGUACUUCUCUGUUGGACUGUAAGAUUGAAUCAUAUCUUCUAAGGCUCAUGUUCAUCAGAACUUGUAACAUUUUAUGGCUCUAAAAUUAAUUUCUAGGACUGGGGAUCAUAGCUUUCAGAAAAAUACUCCUGUAUCACUAGAAGCAGUUCGAUGUGUUUGUACAUCCUGAUCUGAAAAAUUUUUCUUUUUCGGUAUCAGGAAUU